rnacentral:ncRNA from 1 species
GGACCCCAGCUCAAGCAAGAACACCCGCUGAGUUUAAACAUAUAAUUAAGCGGAGGAAAAGAAACUUACAAGGAUUCCCCUAGUAACGGCAAGCGAACCGGGAAGAGCCCAGCAUGAAAAUCGGGUGGCAGCGUCGCCUGAAUUGUAGUCUGUAGAAUCAUCCUUAGCGGUGGACCGGGCCCAAGUCCCAUGGAAGGGGGCACCUGAGAGGGUGACAGCCCCGUUGGGCCGGGACCCUACCGCACCACGAGGCGUUGUCGACAAGUCGGGUUGUUUGGGAAUGCAGCCCUAAUCGAGUGGUAAAUUCUGUCCAAGGCUAAAUACGGGUGAGAGACUGAUAGUGAACAAGUACCACGAGGGAAAGAUGAAAAGGACUUUGAAAAGAGAGUUAAAGAGUGCUUGAAAUUGCUGGGAGGGAAGCGGAUGGAGGCCGACAAUGCGUCUCGGUCGGAUGCGGAAUGGCUCAAGCUAGUCUGCCGCUCGGCUCGGGUUGCGAACCAGCACAGGCCAUUGCAUCGGCACAAGCACGGGUGUAGUACUACCUGUUGGUUUGCCAUUGUGGCGGUCAAGGAAUGAAGAUUGUGCCCUUGGGGUGGGCCACUAUGCACCUGCACACUCGUGGUGUUGGUUGGUGGGCUUUCCAUUCGACCUGUCUUGAAACAUGGACCAAUGAGUCUAAAAUGUGUGCGAGUCGGUGGGUUUGUAAACCUGUGAGGCGUAAGGAAGCUGACGGGCGAGAACCCCUCUCCAUGGGGUGCAUUGCCGACCAACCUUGAGCUUGUGCAAAGGGUUCGAGUGCGAGCACACUUGUUGGGACCCGAAAUAUGGUGAACUAUGCCUGAG